AGAGCCCUGUGGCCUAAGUCACAGGUCAUUUUGCCUGAAUGGGGGCAUUUGUUAUGUGAUACCCACUGUUCCCAGCCCAUUUUGUAGGAAGUGAACUGAUGCUGGCUUCUCUUUGUCUUAUUCCAAGCUGGGGCAUGAGGUUUUCCCUGCAUUAGAAGGUUGUGCGUGAAGCCUGGGAAGAUGUGUUGAGAACUACACGGGGGCGCGGUGCGAAGAGGUCUUCCUUCCCAGUACCAAGACUCAGGGUGAGAGCGAGCUGUUUGGGGCUUUCCUGACUGUGGCUCUGCUCCUAGGCGUGCUGACCCUCGGGGCCGUCUACCUCCUUUUCAGGAAAGGCCACCUCCAGAGGGCUAGUUCAGCCCAGUAUGACGUUGGCCUGGUAGAGACCAGCAGCAUCAACAUCUACAACAGUCCAACACUGUCUCCUGGGCCCUAAGUAGCAGUCUACAAGUAAAAGAAAAGCAGAGAAAUGAUGAUUUGAGAGGCAAAGGAAAUGCCUUUGAGCAAUGUAAUGUUGCUUUUCCUAGAACAUGGAGAGAACUGAAGAAGCACCAGCCAAGUGAACCAAGAUAUUAUGUCUGAGCUACGGGGGAAUAAACGAAGCCACAGAAGGGGUUUUGCUGAAGCAGGUCCUGAGCCAAUCUUCAGUGCUUUAUAAACAAGAGCUGACUGCUUCUAUCAUCUCCUGCUCCUCAAGUGUUUGUGGCCACAUGCAUCCAUCUGUAAAAACAAGGCUUACCACAAGGUCUCUUUUGGCCAAGGACGUCUGGUGGACACUAAAACCCACAAAAGCUCAGUUUUAUCCUUCUGGAAGUUUUCUGCAGGUUUCAUGCCUCCUUGUCCUUAGCAUUGGUCACAACUUUCUGUGUUGGCUCCCUACUUCAUUACGUGUAAUAGCCUAAAUUCAGCUGAUUGGGGGUGGUGGGGUGAGGGGAGGCUCCCAUCUGGCAGUGACCUGGGACCUAGUGGGCUUGGUCCUUUGAGGAGUAGAGUGGUGAUGGAAAAGGUCUUAUUUGCUCAUACUUCUCUAGCUCCUUGAGGUUCCCAAAUCACUGCUGCAGCCCUUGGAAACAGGACUGCAUGUAGCCCCAUUUGAUGGAAGGGAAAGUGGUGACUUGUCCAAGGUCACCCAUGGUAAAUGGCAAAACUAGGACUCUAGGCCACAUUUUCUGAUUCUGAGUCCAGGACUCUGGUUGCUUUCUGACAGUGCUUCAGGCAAUGGCAUUAUGAGAAAGAUUCAACCAAGCAGACUUUGGGAAGAAAACCCACGGGUGAAAAAGAAAGUAGCCAAAUGGAUCAGGUUUGAUUAAGUAGUGAACAGUCCCACAGUAAGUAAGUAGUCCUGCAGAAGAAACACAGCCAGCAGUGUGGGAGACAAGGCUUUACUCCUGCAACUGUUACUCAGCUGUGUUCUCACUGGGCUUUCUUCACAUUCUCUAUACAUGGGUAAGGAUUUCAUUUUGGCUUCUGACUUUGAAAGCAACCUAGGCUUGGCCUAAGCCCAAGUCCAAGGUCCGCAGAGGGGACCUUAGAGACUUUCCAGGUCCAUUUGACAUUUGACAGAUUGGCCAAAAAGAACAGUUCACUCAUUCAUUGUUAUGGCCAGGUUCAAGAUGAGGCAGAGGGUGAAAAUGUGACUUAUCUGUCACACGUAGCUGAUCCUUGAGCCCAAGCCCUCCAACCCAGAGUUCAAAGCUCUCACCACCACCUCCCUAAUCUUCCUCCCUGUGUUUGUCCACAAUUUCUUCAUACAAACAUUUGUGAUAAGCAGUGUCUAUUCUUUAGCUGAGGCAGUACGAGUUAUUCCUUUAUUGGCAAUCUUUCUUAUCUAAGCCGAGGGUGUUUCAUGAUUGCAGCCAGCCAGCCAGCCGUCCUAGCGUAAAACCAAGUGUUACAUAAUCACUGAACUCAGGGCUAGUCCUCUCUCAGGAGCAGGUAGGCAGUGGUAAUGCUCUCCUGAAAGCUCAUUUUCUUUCCAGUUCAGCUUCCUCUUCUAUCUUUGGCAAUCCUUUCUGCCCUGGGACAAGGCUAUAAACACACAAGAAAGAGGUUUAGUCUCAGAUGGAAAGGGAUCCUCUGAAUAUCCUAUUGCUAGUCGCUGUAACAGCAGAAUGAAUGUCCCAUAUGCUGAUUUGUAUAAAUAAAAUGACCAAUUCAA